rnacentral:tRNA from 1 species
GGCACUAUAGCCAAGUGGUUAAGGCGACAGAUUAGAAUUACAGGGACUCUCCACUGUAUAUCAUCUGUUACUCUCUGAGUGCGCAGGUUCAAAUCCUGCUGGUGUCG